rnacentral:rRNA from 2 species
CGACCUCGGGCUGUACGGGACUAC